UGAGAUUUAAGCCUGAGAUGGGGAGUAGAGGCCAAGUGAGGACAUUGGUCCUUGUUAGCUAGGGAAAUCAAGAUUCAUGUUCUAGCUGUGGAAUCCAUUCAUUCAUUUUUCCAUUCAUUUAUCCAUUCAUCUGUUCAUCCACCCACCAUCCACCCACUCAAUCAUCUAUCCACUCAUCCAACAACCCAUCCACCCAUCCAACCAUCUAGCCACCCAUCCAUCCACCCACCCAACCAUCUAUCCACUCAUCUACACACCCAUCCAUCCAUCUACCCAUCCAUCCACCCACCCAACCAUCUAUACACUCAUCCAUCCACCCACCAACUAUCUAUCCACUCAUCCAUCCACCCACCAAUCAUUUAUCCACUCAUCCAUCCACCAUCCAUCCACCCACCCAAUCAUCUAUCCACUCAUCCAUCCACCCAUCUACUCACCUACCCAUCAUCCAUCCACCCAUCUAUCCAUCUACCCAUCCAUCCAUCCACUCACCCAUCCAUUUAUCUAUCAUCCAUCCACUCAUUCACCCACUCAUCCAUCAAUUCACCCAGCCACCUAGUCACCCACACAGCUACAACCACCUUCCUACCUAUCCACCCAUCCACCCAUCCAUCCACUCAUCCAUUGACAGAUUGUUGAGCAUGGGCACAUUCUGUCAGUGGGGUCCACAGAGGAUGUUGAGGUCACAUUAGAUAGCAUGGAACAAAUGCUAAUAUAGUUUGAAUGAGUCCCUCAGAUUUUGUGUUUUGGGAACAAAUAUGUUCAUGGUGCAUGGAGGUGAGAACUUGGGAAGCGAUUUUCAGGUCAUGAGGGUUUUGCCCUGUAAAUGAAUUAGCCUCUUCACAGAUUAAUGGGUGGACAGUUUCCCGGGGGAGCGGCUCUCUCUGGAGGGCUGGCUCUGUCUCACUGUGUGCUGCCCUCUGCCAUGUGAAGUUGUGGCAGGAAGCCCCUACCAGAUGCUGAGCUGACGCUGUGUGCUUGGAUUUCCAGCCUCCAGAACUGUGAGCUAAAUAAACCUUUAUUCUCUG
rnacentral:lncRNA from 1 species